UGCAGGAUUGAUUACGGCAGUCUGUCUGUUCAUCUGUUGUCGUCUGUUCUCAAAACCAUCCGAGAGAGAAAACAUGCCGAUUCCCCCAGGGUUUACCCAAAAGAUAAAACGUUUGAAUGAGAAACACAUUAAACACUUUCUCAGCAUUACCUGUGACCCGGAAAGGUGAGUGAAAGGAAGAAGUGAAGGUGCUUUUCACUGUGAGACACAGCGACACUAAACUGAGUCGCUUAGCUGCUGGUUUUUCUGGCACUAUAGGAGUGGGAAGGUGUAUGUAGAAGUAUUGAAUUAUCUUCCUGGUGAUGAGCAGUAAUCAAACUGUCAGCCGCACCCAUCUUGAGAUUCUCACCUGUCAGUGAAAAUCCUGAUGAACAGAUCGGGCUUCUGCUAGAAGAGCGACAGCUCGAACUGAACACGGGUUAAAAUAUGAACAUGAGAUCUAACCACUGGAGGUCACUGUGGGUCUGAGGAACGUCUCGGCACAGCUCCAGGGUUCCUGGGUCCAUCAUGAGCUCAGUGUGUGACCUGGAAAUUAAUCAGAUGUCCUCCAUUGUUGAAGAUGCGUCAGUGGAGGAGGCUUCAUGGAGAGGAGGUACACCGUCGAUAUGUCAUGUUGCUUCAGUGGGCAGUGAUUAUUACUGAUGUUCCUGCAUUAUCGUGUUUCUGCAUUCCUUAUCGUAACACCCGAAAAGUGACUUAACACUCAGGACUUGUAUCACAAGCUCGAAGGACAGAAGAGUUUUAUUCAAUUCGAGAGCGAGAAUAAAGAGAGGGCUGGUGAAGGAGCGACUGUUUACAGCUCCUAUAACAUAAGCGACAACAGGAACAGACUUGUUUUUGCGGACAUUGUGAGACAUUACACGGUACUAUAAAAUGAACUGUAAAAGUACAAUGUGUCAUUCUUUAAUAUGUCAAAAAAUAUCGCUGUGGUGUAAGAUGAAUAAAACUCUUCAAGAUGUACUGUUACACAAUAAUAAACAACUUCAGGGUGGUAAACAAGUCAUCACUCAUUAUUUCAGUGUUUUAUUUCCUUGUAUACAA